UUAAGCGACUAAGCGUACACGGUGGAUGCCCUGGCAGUCAGAGGCGAUGAAGGACGUGCUAAUCUGCGAUAAGCGUCGGUAAGGUGAUAUGAACCGUUAUAACCGGCGAUUUCCGAAUGGGGAAACCCAGUGUGUUUCGUCACACUAUCAUUAACUGAAUCCAUAGGUUAAUGAGGCGAACCGGGGGAACUGAAACAUCUAAGUACCCCGAGGAAAAGAAAUCAACCGAGAUUCCCCCAGUAGCGGCGAGCGAACGGGGAGGAGCCCAGAGCCUGAAUCAGUGUGUGUGUUAGUGGAAGCGUCUGGAAAGGCGCGCGAUACAGGGUGACAGCCCCGUACACAAAAAUGCACAUGCUGUGAGCUCGAUGAGUAGGGCGGGACACGUGGUAUCCUGUCUGAAUAUGGGGGGACCAUCCUCCAAGGCUAAAUACUCCUGACUGACCGAUAGUGAACCAGUACCGUGAGGGAAAGGCGAAAAGAACCCCGGCGAGGGGAGUGAAAAAGAACCUGAAACCGUGUACGUACAAGCAGUGGGAGCACAGAGCAAUCUGUGUGACUGCGUACCUUUUGUAUAAUGGGUCAGCGACUUAUAUUCUGUAGCAAGGUUAACCGAAUAGGGGAGCCGAAGGGAAACCGAGUCUUAACCGGGCGUUAAGUUGCAGGGUAUAGACCCGAAACCCGGUGAUCUAGCCAUGGGCAGGUUGAAGGUUGGGUAACACUAACUGGAGGACCGAACCGACUAAUGUUGAAAAAUUAGCGGAUGACUUGUGGCUGGGGGUGAAAGGCCAAUCAAACCGGGAGAUAGCUGGUUCUCCCCGAAAGCUAUUUAGGUAGCGCCUCGUGAAUUCAUCUCCGGGGGUAGAGCACUGUUUCGGCAAGGGGGUCAUCCCGACUUACCAACCCGAUGCAAACUGCGAAUACCGGAGAAUGUUAUCACGGGAGACACACGGCGGGUGCUAACGUCCGUCGUGAAGAGGGAAACAACCCAGACCGCCAGCUAAGGUCCCAAAGUCAUGGUUAAGUGGGAAACGAUGUGGGAAGGCCCAGACAGCCAGGAUGUUGGCUUAGAAGCAGCCAUCAUUUAAAGAAAGCGUAAUAGCUCACUGGUCGAGUCGGCCUGCGCGGAAGAUGUAACGGGGCUAAACCAUGCACCGAAGCUGCGGCAGCGACACUGUGUGUUGUUGGGUAGGGGAGCGUUCUGUAAGCCUGUGAAGGUGUGCUGUGAGGCAUGCUGGAGGUAUCAGAAGUGCGAAUGCUGACAUAAGUAACGAUAAAGCGGGUGAAAAGCCCGCUCGCCGGAAGACCAAGGGUUCCUGUCCAACGUUAAUCGGGGCAGGGUGAGUCGACCCCUAAGGCGAGGCCGAAAGGCGUAGUCGAUGGGAAACAGGUUAAUAUUCCUGUACUUGGUGUUACUGCGAAGGGGGACGGAGAAGGCUAUGUUGGCCGGGCGACGGUUGUCCCGGUUUAAGCGUGUAGGCUGGUUUUCCAGGCAAAUCCGGAAAAUCAAGGCUGAGGCGUGAUGACGAGGCACUACGGUGCUGAAGCAACAAAUGCCCUUCUUCCAGGAAAAGCCUCUAAGCAUCAGGUAACAUCAAAUCGUACCCCAAACCGACACAGGUGGUCAGGUAGAGAAUACCAAGGCGCUUGAGAGAACUCGGGUGAAGGAACUAGGCAAAAUGGUGCCGUAACUUCGGGAGAAGGCACGCUGAUAUGUAGGUGAAGUCCCUCGCGGAUGGAGCUGAAAUCAGUCGAAGAUACCAGCUGGCUGCAACUGUUUAUUAAAAACACAGCACUGUGCAAACACGAAAGUGGACGUAUACGGUGUGACGCCUGCCCGGUGCCGGAAGGUUAAUUGAUGGGGUCAGCGCAAGCGAAGCUCUUGAUCGAAGCCCCGGUAAACGGCGGCCGUAACUAUAACGGUCCUAAGGUAGCGAAAUUCCUUGUCGGGUAAGUUCCGACCUGCACGAAUGGCGUAAUGAUGGCCAGGCUGUCUCCACCCGAGACUCAGUGAAAUUGAACUCGCUGUGAAGAUGCAGUGUACCCGCGGCAAGACGGAAAGACCCCGUGAACCUUUACUAUAGCUUGACACUGAACAUUGAGCCUUGAUGUGUAGGAUAGGUGGGAGGCUUUGAAGUGUGGACGCCAGUCUGCAUGGAGCCGACCUUGAAAUACCACCCUUUAAUGUUUGAUGUUCUAACGUGGACCCGUGAUCCGGGUUGCGGACAGUGUCUGGUGGGUAGUUUGACUGGGGCGGUCUCCUCCUAAAGAGUAACGGAGGAGCACGAAGGUUGGCUAAUCCUGGUCGGACAUCAGGAGGUUAGUGCAAUGGCAUAAGCCAGCUUGACUGCGAGCGUGACGGCGCGAGCAGGUGCGAAAGCAGGUCAUAGUGAUCCGGUGGUUCUGAAUGGAAGGGCCAUCGCUCAACGGAUAAAAGGUACUCCGGGGAUAACAGGCUGAUACCGCCCAAGAGUUCAUAUCGACGGCGGUGUUUGGCACCUCGAUGUCGGCUCAUCACAUCCUGGGGCUGAAGUAGGUCCCAAGGGUAUGGCUGUUCGCCAUUUAAAGUGGUACGCGAGCUGGGUUUAGAACGUCGUGAGACAGUUCGGUCCCUAUCUGCCGUGGGCGCUGGAGAACUGAGGGGGGCUGCUCCUAGUACGAGAGGACCGGAGUGGACGCAUCACUGGUGUUCGGGUUGUCAUGCCAAUGGCACUGCCCGGUAGCUAAAUGCGGAAGAGAUAAGUGCUGAAAGCAUCUAAGCACGAAACUUGCCCCGAGAUGAGUUCUCCCUGACCCUUUAAGGGUCCUGAAGGAACGUUGAAGACGACGACGUUGAUAGGCCGGGUGUGUAAGCGCAGCGAUGCGUUGAGCUAACCGGUACUAAUGAACCGUGAGGCUUAACCUU
rnacentral:rRNA from 1 species